GUAGGUCACAAGCGUUGUCCGGAAUUACUGGGUGUAAAGGGAGCGCAGGCGGGAAGACAAGUUGGAAGUGAAAUCUAUGGGCUCAACCCAUAAACUGCUUUCAAAACUGUUUUUCUUGAGUACAGUAGAGGUGGGCGGAAUUCGUGGUGUAGCGGUGAAAUGCUUAGAUAUCACGAAGAACUCCGAUUGCGAAGGCAGCUCACUGGACUGCAACUGACACUGAUGCUCGAAAGUGUGGGUAUCAAACAGGAUUAGAUACCCUGGUAGUCCACACAGUAAACGAUGAAUACUCGCUGUUUGCGAUAUACAGUAAGCGGCCAAGCGAAAGCAUUAAGUAUUCCACCUGGGGAGUACGCCGGCAACGGUGAAACUCAAAGG
rnacentral:rRNA from 1 species